rnacentral:snRNA from 1 species
AUCUCUUCUCUGCCUAUUAGCUAAAAUCAAACACAGUAUCUCUUUUCACCAAUUAAAAGCAUCCAAUGUAUUCUCUGUCUGUGUACUGGGCAUUAAGUUCUGCUUAGAAUGAGGAGAUGGGUUGGGCACUUGAUCUAUUCACUCCUUGCCUCAUCCUAGAAUUGCAUUACUUCUAGGAAUGAUGCAUUUCUU